ACAGCAACCACAAAGUCUACUACAACAGCAAAACCUACCACACCACCUACCCCAACACCGGCAACUACCAGGAAGACUCGUACAACAACAAAACCCACCACACCAUCAACCCCUACACCGACAACUACCACAACAACAACAACAUCAAAACCUACAACACCAUAUACCCCUACACCAACAACUACAACAAAGUCUUCUACAAUCACAUCAAAACCUACCACACCAUCUUCCCCUACACCAACAACUACCACAAAGUCUACUACAACAACAUCAAAACCUACAACAUCAUCUACCCCUACAACUACAACAAAGUCUAUCUCAACAACAUCAAAACCUACCACACCAUCUUCCCCUACACCGACAACUACCACAAAGUCUUCUACAACAACAGCAAAACAUACCACACCAUCUACCCCUACACCGACAACUACCACGAAGUCUACUACACCAUCAAAACCUACCACACCAUCUUCCCCUACACCGACAAAUACAACAAAGUCUACUACAACAACAUCAAAACCUACCACACCAUCUUCCCCUACACCGACAACUACCACAAAGUCUUCUACAACAACAUCAAAACCUACCACACCAUCUUCCCCUACACCGACAGCUACCACAAAGCCUACUACAACAACAUCAAAAACUACCACACCAUCUUCCCCUACAACGAAAACUACCACAAAAUCUACUACAACAACAUCAAAACCUACCACACCAUCUUCCUCUACACCGACAACUACCACAAAGUCUACUACAACAACAACAACAUCAAAACCUACCACACCAUCUUCCCCUACAACGAAAACUACCACAAAAUCUACUACAACAACAUCAAAACCUACCACACCAUCUUCCUCUACACCGACAACUACCACAAAGUCUACUACAACAUCAAAACCUACCACACCAUCUUCCCCUACACCGACAGCUACCACAAAGCCUACUACAACAACAUCAAAACCUACCACACCAUCUUCCCCUACACCGACAACUACCACAAAGUCUACUACAACAACAACAACAUCAAAACCUACAACAUCAUCUACUCUUACACCGACAGCUACCACAAAGUCUACUACAACAACAAAACCUACCACACCAUCUUCCCCUACACCGACAACAACCAAGAAGUCUACUACAAUAACAUCAAAACCUACCACACCAUCUUCUCCUACAACGAAAUAUACAAUUAAUGUAAUAACUGGAAGUACAAAAAGAGCAACAACAGACAUACAAGUUAAAGGAAAUGAAACAGCACAAACUACCACACAAUAUUCCCCUACACCGACAAGUACAACAAAGUCUACUACAACAACAUCAAAACCUACCACACCAUCUUCCCCUACAACGACAACUACCACGAAGUCUACUACAAUAACAUCAAAACCUACCACACAAACCUCACCUACAACGAAAUAUACAAUUAAUGUAAUAACAAGAACAACAAAAAGAGCAACAACAGACAUACAAGUGAAAGGAAAUAAAACAGCACAAACUACCACACAAUAUUCCCCUACACCGACAAGUACAACAAAGUCUACUACAACAACAUCAAAACCUACCACACCAUCUUCCCCUACACCGACAGCUACCACAAAGUCUACUACAACAACAACAACAUCAAAACCUACCACACCAUCUUCUCAUAUACCAACUACCACAAAAUCUACUACAACAUCAAAACCUACCACACCAUCUACUCCUACACCGACAGCUACCACAAAGUCUACAACAUCAAAACCUACAACACCAUCUUCCCCUACACCAACUACCACGAAGUCUACUACAACAAUAACAACAUCAAAACCUACCACACCAUCUUCUCCUACACCAACUACCAUGAAGUCUACUACAACAACAUCAAAACCUACCACACCAUCUCCUCCUACACCGACAACUACCACAAAAUCUGCUACAACAACAUCAAAACCUACCACACCAUCUUCCCCUACACCGACAGUUACCACAAAGUCUACUACAACAACAUCAAAACCUACCACGCCAUCUUCCCCUACAACGACAACUACCACGAAGUCUACUACAACAUCAAAACCUACCACCCCAUCUACUCCUACACCGACAGCUACCACAAAGUCUACAACAUCAAAACCUACAACACCAUCUUCCCCGACACCGACAACUACCACAAAAUCUACUACAACAACAUCAAAACCUACCCCACCAUCUACCCCUACACCGACAGUUACCACAAAGUCUUCUACAACAACAUCAAAACCUACCACACCAUCUUCCCCUACACCGACAACUACCACGAAGUCCACUACAAGAACAUCAAAACCUACCACACCACCUCCUCCUACACCGACAACUACCACAAAAUCUACUACAACAACAUCAAAAUCUACCACACCAUCUUCCCCUACACCGACAGCUACCACAAAGUCUACUACAACAACACUGAAACCUACCACACCAUCUACCCCUACACCAACAACUACCACAAAAUCUACUACAACAUCAAAACCUACCACACCAUAUACCCCUACACCAACAACUACCACAACGUCUACCACAACAACAUCAAAACCUAUCACACCAUCUACCCCUACAACGACAAUUACAACAAAGUCUACAACAACAACAUAA
ensembl:lncRNA